ACGCGUGAAGUUGACCGCCUGGGGAGUACGGCCGCAAGGUUAAAACUCAAAGGAAUUGACGGGGACCCGCACAAGCGGUGGAUGAUGUGGUUUAAUUCGAUGCAACGCGAAAAACCUUACCCACCUUUGACAUGUAUGGAAGAUCGCAGAGACGCGAUUGUGCUCGAAAGAGAGCCAUAACACAGGUGCUGCAUGGCUGUCGUCAGCUCGUGUCGUGAGAUGUUGGGUUAAGUCCCGCAACGAGCGCAACCCUUGCCAUUAGUUGCUACAUUUAGUUGGGCACUCUAAUGGGACUGCCGGUGACAAACCGGAGGAAGGUGGGGAUGACGUCAAGUCCUCAUGGCCCUUAUAGGUGGGGCUACACACGUCAUACAAUGGCUGGUACAAAGGGUUGCCAACCCGCGAGGGGGAGCUAAUCCCAUAAAGCCAGUCGUAGUCCGGAUCGUAGUCUGCAACUCGACUACGUGAAGUCGGAAUCGCUAGUAAUCGUGGAUCAGAAUGUCACGGUGAAUACGUUCCCGGGUCUUGUACACACCGCCCGUCACACCAUGGGAGCGGGUCUCGCCAGAAGUAGUUAGCCUAACCGCAAGGAGGGCGAUUACCACGGCGGGGUUCGUGACUGGGGUGAAGUCGUAACAAGGUAACCAAG
rnacentral:rRNA from 1 species